rnacentral:rRNA from 1 species
CCUACGGGUGGCAGCAGUGGGGAAUAUUGGACAAUGGGCGAAAGCCUGAUCCAGCCAUGCCGCGUGUGUGAAGAAGGCCUUCGGGUUGUAAAGCACUUUCAGUGGGGAAGAAAGCCUUGGGGCUAAUACCCUCGAGGAAGGACAUCACCCACAGAAGAAGCACCGGCUAACUCCGUGCCAGCAGCCGCGGUAAUACGGAGGGUGCGAGCGUUAAUCGGAAUUACUGGGCGUAAAGCGCGCGUAGGCGGUCUGAUAAGCCGGUUGUGAAAGCCCCGGGCUCAACCUGGGAACGGCAUCCGGAACUGUCAGGCUAGAGUGCAGGAGAGGAAGGUAGAAUUCCCGGUGUAGCGGUGAAAUGCGUAGCGAUCGGGAGGAAUACCAGUGGCGAAGGCGGCCUUCUGGACUGACACUGACGCUGAGGUGCGAAAGCGUGGGUAGCAAACAGGAUUAGAUACCCGAGUAGUC